rnacentral:lncRNA from 1 species
UCCACCAUCUCUCUCAUUUUCUCAUUUUCUUCAACCAGUUUUUCGUCCAUCUCUCUGUCUCUUACCAAAUCAUGCUUGUCCACCGUCUCCCGCUGGGCAUUCGGCAAAGCAGGUAGGGACACUUCACCCAUCUCAAUAGAGGUUGCUUCCCCAGUAGCAUGUAACUCGUUAGCCUGGUUAUCUAACUUGCAGGAUGGGAUAUGUUCGAGUACACAUGGGUCUUGUAGCACGUCUUCUGCCAUUUUAUUUUUCGUAUCUGCAGUUUGUUGUUCAUUUUCAUUGGUUACCAUCUCGUUUUUUAUGUUCUCAUUACGGUAGGAUUCUGAUAAUUCCCCUAGCGAUUCUGCAGAUUGAUCACAUGCUCGUCUAGCCUGGUGGUUGUCCCACUCAUCUUCCAGCACCUUCUCCACCUCAUCUGUCUGUUGUCUGUCUUCAUCGGUUAACAAUUCGUUUUGGAUGAUCAGGUCAUCAUUAGAGUUUGAUUGCUCCCCUGGCAGUGCUGCAGAUUCAUCAGGUGCUCCUUGCUUCUCAGUAGGGCUUCCGUCACUAUCUAGUUUGACUGCUAAAUUAUGUGAAUUCUCUUCAGCCUCUGAUACCCCUCUCCUCAUCUCAACGUGCUCAAGCUUGUCAGUUUCGGGUUUAUUUGAAUUGCCAUCCUCUCUCAUUGGAAGUUCCAUAUCUGCAGCCUUUUCAUAAGGUGUUGAAAUGGUUAUCUUAUCAAUUGCUUCAGGUGUUUGUCCUGCUUGUGCUCCCACUUGAUCAUCAGAAUCGGGGCUCAAAACAUGAACUUCCAAAGAAUCUCUUACAGGAUGGCCAUCUUCUGAAAAAUAUCGGUGAUGAUGUAAAGUUUCUUCAUUCAUGUCCAUUUGAAGAACUUCA